AGACUUCUAUGAACUGAAGAUUUAUACAUUUUCUUUCUGGGUAAGUCUGAAGAUAAAUCUAUUGCUGCUGUUACAUGAUGAUUUGGGUGAAAAGCCACUGGUAUUUGUUGUUUGUUGUCAAAGAGUAUCAAGAACUAAUUAGUUACUUCUUGUUAUGUGUUUGUUGAGUAGUGAUGAACAGGAAGAGAAACUCGAAUGCAGUUAGAACCCAAAAUGGGGAAAGAGAAGCAGAUGGAGAGAUUGAGAUAACGGGUACUUCCAUACUGGAUUUACCUGAUUUUAUCUUUACGAAUGUUGUGCUGUAGCUGCCAAUUAAGGCGAUCAUCAUGUGCAAGUGUGCUUGUAAGCCUUAGCGUCGCAUCAUAUCAGAUCCCCAGAUGCAUUAUUCUCGUGCACAGCCUUGUCCUCUGGUUUGGACUUUGGGUAACUCACGAGUUUCCAGAAUGCUUUACCUAAUUGACCAUCUGAGGUUAAUCUGAGCUACAAUUCAGAUUACUAUUCUCCUGAUGGGGUCAACUUGAAGCUGGAUACCAGGUUGAAGAUCCCGCUGCGUAAUGCUCAAAUGGUGCCUCAGAAUCCUAGUGAUGCCAACUUGGGUCUUUGCAGUAAGGGUGGCUCUAAGAAGCGUUGCAUGAAUGUGAGAACCAUUAAAGUGAGGACGAUUGUUAAUUCAUGCAAUGGGUUUCUUUGCUUGUCGGAUCCCUCAUGUAACAAUCCCUUGUGUGUAAUCCAGAAACAGGUGCAAUGAGUCCAAGCUGCUGGGAGGAACCAAAGCUCUCUUCUUGGUAGAAGAACUCAGGGAUUUGGAGAUGGACACAGAUUCCUCUUAUUACAGCGACCAAGAAUUAUCUACUGCAGAUUAGCACACUUGGGAAAGCACUUGAAUGUUUUCAGAACUUAGUGCCUGCAGUUGGAACUUGGAAGCUGUUUCCCCUUUGUUAUUGGCGAAUCUACAUGCUUUUGCUAAGUUAUAAUUUCGUGAUAACUAUUUUAAAACAAUGCCGAGCACCUCCUUUAGAUGUAUGACUGAUUUGAAGCUUGAUGUUUUAGUCAUCAGCAACCCAUGGAAAUGUUUACUCUCUUUCAAGUUACUCUGUCCACCUAUUAUGUAUGGUUGCAACAAUUAGACCUCUCUAAGAGAGGCUCUUAAAACACGCAUCCGAUUUUCGGGCAUCUUAAGGAGUCUA